UACGUAGGGUGCAAGCGUUAAUCGGAAUUACUGGGCGUAAAGCGUGCGCAGGCGGUGAUGUAAGACAGAUGUGAAAUCCCCGGGCUCAACCUGGGAACUGCAUUUGUGACUGCAUCGCUGGAGUACGGCGAGAGGGGGAUGGAAUUCCGCGUGUAGCAGUGAAAUGCGUAGAUAUGCGGAGGAACACCGAUGGCGAAGGCAAUCCCCUGGGCCUGUACUGACGCUCAUGCACGAAAGCGUGGGGAGCAAACAGG
rnacentral:rRNA from 1 species